UCAUUUUUUGUAUAGUUUCCUUCAUGGGGAAUUUGUAUUUUCGCUGGAAGUUCUGGUAGUCAUAUACGGAGCUGGACAACCGAGAAUCACAAAGUAAAAGAUUAUAUUUUCACAAUCUUGUAUUUUAUUUAGUUAAAUGUAAUUUUCAUUGGAAGUCUCCUGCAGUUAAAUUCGGAGCUGGAGAACCGAGAAUCAGAAGAUUGAGACAGAAUAAUUGUUAAAAUGGGAUCUAUUUAUCGAUGUCAUCUUUACCUCAUGUUAGUUUCAUGUGGAUGGCUGAUAACUGUUUACGCCUCAUGGAAACCAGGGUGUGAAGGUCAAUUCCUGUACAAUCCUAAAGACGGAUACACGUGUAAAUAUGCCGAAUGCAGAAAAUCUGGCCCGACGAAUCGAAAAUUCCACGUGGUCUGCGAGAAAAGGAAUCAGCAACCAUAUGAAUGUGUCUAUGAGGGCAAUCCACAUAGUUGUCACUAUUACAACUCUCAUCAAAGGGAGUUUUAUAAAGGCCUGUCCGUCGCAGCUGGAAGAGAUCAACUCACUGCCUGUUCACAAUCUCAGCUAGUUUUUGAAAAAUGCAGGGAUAUUAAAAUGACCAGGACGAUCAACAGGCGCAACAAGGCUGAUCCAUUUUGUAACGUUAAACAGGAUUUCUUAUUCUAUGUCGUAUAAAAACGGGAAAUUAACCCUCAUGAUGCUUUAAUGCUUUAUUUUCUUUAAUCUUUCUUCUUUCCCCAGCAUAACCUCAGUCUGGUGCUUUAUCCUACACAUAAUUCAUAAAUACACUAUUUACGAGGAAAUAUUUAGUAUUCAUAAUUCAUAAAUACACUAUUUACGAGGUAAUAUUUAGUAUUCAUAAUUCGUAAAUACACUAUUUACGAGGUAAUCUUUAGUUGUGAAAGACUUUAGUUCUUAAAACCCUUUUCAUAUUCAACUUUAUUAUAUUCUGUCGAGUAUUUCAUACAAUUAAAUUGCUGUUCAUGAAAAUGCACAUUUGCAUUAAAUGCUUAUUCAUAAUGUUUUUGCACAAACAAUGUUUGUAAAAAUAAAAAUGGGCUCACUA